GCAGCGAGGAGGGGGGGGUGGGCGCUCUUUCUUUUUCUCUUAGAAGAGGGUUUAGCACAGGUUUUUUCGUUCUCACUUCCACCCCACCUAUCCGCCCCCCGACCCCCCUUCUCCCCCUCCCCACCUAUCGUCAUGACGGCCUCUCCGGAUUACUUGGUGGUGCUUUUUGGGAUCACUGCUGGGGCCACCGGGGCCAAGCUAGGCUCGGAUGAGAAGGAGCUGAUCCUGCUGUUCUGGAAAGUCGUGGAUCUGGCCAACAAGAAGGUGGGACAGUUGCACGAAGUACUAGUUAGACCAGAUCAAUUGGAACUGACGGAAGACUGCAAAGAAGAAACUAAAAUAGACGUCGAAAGCCUGUCCUCGGCGUCGCAGCUGGACCAAGCCCUCCGACAGUUUAACCAGUCAGUGAGCAAUGAACUGAAUAUUGGAGUAGGUACUUCCUUCUGUCUCUGUACUGAUGGACAGCUUCAUAUCAGGCAAAUCCUGCAUCCUGAGGCUUCCAAGAAGAAUGUACUAUUACCUGAAUGCUUCUAUUCCUUUUUUGAUCUUCGAAAAGAAUUCAAGAAGUGUUGCCCUGGUUCACCUGAUAUUGACAAACUGGACAUUGCAGCAAUGACAGAGUAUUUAAAUUUUGGGAAGAAUAGUUCAGUCUCUCGAUAUGGAGCCUCUCAAGUUGAAGAUAUGGGGAAUAUAAUUUUAGCAAUGAUUUCAGAGCCUUAUAAUCACAGGUUUUCAGAUCCAGAGAGAGUGAAUUACAAAUUUGAAAGUGGGACUUGCAGCAAGAUGGAACUUAUUGAUGAUAACACCGUAGUCAGGGCGAGAGGUUUACCAUGGCAGUCUUCAGAUCAAGAUAUUGCAAGAUUCUUCAAAGGACUCAAUAUUGCCAAGGGAGGUGCAGCACUUUGUCUGAAUGCUCAGGGUCGAAGGAACGGAGAAGCUCUGGUUAGGUUUGUAAGUGAGGAGCACCGAGACCUCGCACUACAGAGGCAUAAACAUCACAUGGGGACCCGGUAUAUUGAGGUUUACAAAGCAACAGGUGAAGAUUUUCUUAAAAUUGCUGGUGGUACUUCCAAUGAGGUAGCCCAGUUUCUCUCAAAGGAAAAUCAAGUCAUUGUCCGCAUGCGGGGGCUCCCUUUCACAGCCACAGCUGAAGAAGUGGUGGCCUUCUUUGGACAGCAUUGCCCUAUUACUGGGGGAAAAGAAGGCAUCCUCUUUGUCACCUACCCAGAUGGUAGGCCAACAGGGGAUGCUUUUGUCCUCUUUGCUUGUGAGGAAUAUGCACAGAACGCGUUGAGGAAGCAUAAAGACUUGUUGGGUAAAAGAUACAUUGAACUCUUCAGGAGCACAGCAGCUGAAGUUCAGCAGGUGCUGAAUCGAUUCUCCUCGGCCCCUCUCAUUCCACUUCCAACCCCUCCCAUUAUUCCAGUACUACCUCAGCAAUUUGUGCCUCCUACAAAUGUUAGAGACUGUAUACGCCUUCGAGGUCUUCCCUAUGCAGCCACAAUUGAGGACAUCCUGGAUUUCCUAGGGGAGUUCGCCACAGAUAUUCGUACUCAUGGGGUUCACAUGGUUUUGAAUCACCAGGGCCGCCCAUCAGGAGAUGCCUUUAUCCAGAUGAAGUCUGCGGACAGAGCAUUUAUGGCUGCACAGAAGUGUCAUAAAAAAGCCAUGAAGGACAGAUAUGUUGAAGUCUUUCAGUGUUCAGCUGAGGAGAUGAACUUUGUGUUAAUGGGGGGCACUUUAAAUCGAAAUGGCUUAUCCCCACCGCCAUGUAAGUUACCAUGCCUGUCUCCUCCCUCCUACACAUUUCCAGCUCCUGCUGCAGUUAUUCCUACAGAAGCUAUUUAUCAGCCCUCUGUGAUUUUGAAUCCACGAGCACUGCAGCCCUCCACAGCGUACUACCCAGCAGGCACUCAGCUCUUCAUGAACUACACAGUGUACUAUCCCAGUGUUUGAAAGAUGUAUGGGGAUCUUGAAACUGCCAGACGCAAGAAAACUUCUAGCAAAUUCAGGGGAAGUUUGUCUACACUCAGGCUGCAGUAUUUUCAGCAAACUUGAUUGGACGAGCGGGCCUGUGCCUUAUCUUUUGGUGGAGUGAAAAAAUUUGCACCAGUGAAGCCAAAUCCUUAUAGCAAGCAGCAUGCAGCAUACCUGGCCCUUUGCCGAUUGCAAAUAGGCAUUUAAAAUGUGAAUUUGGAAUCAGACGUCUCUAUUAUUUCCAGCUAAAGUGGCAUCAUAGGUGUUUCCUAAGUUUUAAGUCUUGCAUAAAAACUCUACCAGUGUCUACCAUCUCCACCACGAACUCUGUUAGGGAAGCUUUUGUAUAUUCCCACUCUUUUCAUUUCCCUGGCUUCUGCAUAAUCAUGCCCUCUUGCUAAGUAAUUCAAGCAUAAGUCUUGGAAUACUAAAAUCACAAGCUUAGGAAAAAGAGUAAAAUUGUUAUUUUCUAAGUCUUUUGGCCAUGAUGAUCUUAUAGUUAAAAACAAAUAAUUUUAAAACACCUAAAGAUACUUUAGAAAAAAUGGUGCACCCUCCACAAAACACAAAGUUUAAAAGUGUGGAUCUUUUUCGCAGCAGGUAUCAGUUGUAAAUAAUGAACUAGGGGCCAAAAUGCAAAACCAAAAAUGAAGCAGCUACAUGUAGUUAGUAAUUUCUAGUUUGAACCAUAACUGAAUAUUGUGGCUUCAUAUGCAUUAUUUUAUAUUGUACUUUUGUCAUUGAUGGUUUGGACUUUAAUAAGAGAAAUUCCAUAGUUUUUAAUAUCACAGAAGUGAGACUAUUUGAACAGUGUAUUCUAGAAAACAAUAUACUAACUGAAGUGAAUGCUUGUAUAUAUUAUGAUAGCCUUAAACCUUUUUCUCUAAUGCCUUAACUGUCAAAUAAUUAUAACCUUUUAAAGCAUAGGACUAUAGUCAGCAUGCUAGACUGAGAGGUAAACACUGAUGCAGUUAGAACAGGUACUGAUGCUGUCAGUGUUUAACACCGUGUUUAGCUGUGUUUAUGCUACAAAAGUGCAAUAUUAGACACUAGCUAGCUAGUACUGCUGCCUCAUGUAACUCCAAAGAAAACAGGAUUUCAUUAAGUGCAUUGAAUGUGGAUAUUUCUUUAAGUUACUUAUAUUGUCCUUUGCUUGAAUGCAAUGCCAUGGAGAUUUAUGUGGCUGCUAUUUUUAUUUUCUUUGCAUUACUUUGAUUAACACCUUAAAGGGAGAAGCAAACAUUUCCCUCUUCAGCUGACUGGCAAUGGCCCUUUAACUGCAAUAGAAAAGAUAAAAAAGGUUUGUAUGAAAAUUGGUGAUAACUGGCACUUAAGAUCGAAAAGAAAUUUCUGUAUACUUGAUGCCUUAAGACAUUGUGUGUCCAAAGCUCUGAAAGACUUAAGAUAGGCAGUAAUGCUUACUACAAUACUACUGAGUUUUUGUAGAGUUAACAUUUGAUAAUAAAACAUGCCUGUUUAAUCUCAAAAAAAAAA